AUAAAUAGAAAAAAGUCCAGAAAUAUAGGCCAUUUAUUAAAAAUUUCUCCCUUGUUGGUUUCUUAGGAUUCUCUUCUACAGUGCCAUCACUCCAGUCAUGUAAACCAUAUGUCACUUCAUAAAGAAAAAGAGUGGCUGAAGAUACCCAAACUGUUUGUUUUGCUUCAUCCAUCCAUCUAUCCAUCCAUCCAUCUUGCCUACUAUCUGUCUUAAAUGCAAGAUACCUGUGGACCAGAGAGGUAUUCUGAGUAUGGACCACUUGUCUGGAUGGUUCAGAAAGCAGCUUUUUAUUAAAUCUGGAACUAUUUUGUAGUAAGAUUCAAGCUAGGUAAGUAUAUAACAAGUCCAGAGUUUUAUUUCAUAAGGAAUAAGGUUAAGGACAUUAGUAAUAGAAGAACACAAAUUUAAUUUAAAACUAAAGAUGCUCCUUGGGAGAAAUUUAUCCCCAUGGUGUUGAACUGUAUUUGAUUUCAGACAAUGCACAAAAAAAUCAGCCAUGGCCUGAGUGAAAGCACAACACCGUAUUUCUUCUGCCAUCUCCUCCAACUCAGAGCUCAUUCCUGGAGGGGGAAGAGGAGAAGUAUGGACAUCUGGAAAGCAUUUAAGACGUCCUUGGCUCUUUGGACUGACAAAAUGGAGGAAAAAUGAGGUAGGCCCUGGUGUAUCUAAAAGCAAUAUUUAUAUUGGUGUUUGCUUGUUUGUUUUCUUAUGC
rnacentral:lncRNA from 1 species